rnacentral:lncRNA from 1 species
UUGUUAUCCAUGCGGUUUCUGAUAGAUCAGAAUCAAUCUUCGUUCAAAUUUUCCAGAAACAAUCAGCCAAACUUUAGCAUCUUCUCUGAGAUCUUUAUUUAUUCCAAUUGAAUAAAAAGAGGGUUUUUUAGACCCUUUGCCGUCAUAAAACAUGCGAAGGAAAACCCUAGCCGAAGGAAUCGCAUUUGAACAGAAAGCCAUCAACCC